rnacentral:tRNA from 1 species
AGCGGAUGGCCUAGUGGAUAAAGCGGUGGACUUUUGCUCCAUGGCUCCAGGGGUCACUGGUUAGAGCCCCGUUGAUGGUUA